rnacentral:lncRNA from 1 species
AAAAGGAAGGGAAAGAGGAAGGGAAAGAGGAAGGAAGGAAGGAAGGAAGGGCAAUUGGUACUAAAUUCUUGUAGUGCCCAGGCACUCUUCCCCUAGUGGGCAGGGCAGAGAGACUGUGAAAGGUGGAGAUGAAGGAGAGCCAUCAUUUCACUCUUGAGAAAGGACGGAGCAGGCUGUGUGGAAGAGAUGAGAUCUGGGAUAAAUUGGAAAAGGUAUCAAAAAAUUAGGAGGGAAGAAAUAUUUUCAGCAAGUCUGCUACCACACUCCUCAAAUUCAACUAAGAGUGGUGAUUUAAUGUCAGAAAAGCUCCGCAUCCAGCCCUAUUAGCAGGGGCAGAAACAGACGCCAGGAGACACUGCCCACCUCCUGGGAAUCGGAAUCAGCCUUCACAGCACCAGGAGCCUGGGGUGGGCUGCUGUUUCUGUAAGGUUUUAAAAAGUCAGAGAGCACAGAGUUCUUCCGGAGCCUAUUCUGACUCCUCCUGAGUUUUGUUCACGUGAGAUAAUAUCCUCCUGGGAAAAAAUCUUGAUGGAAAGCCAAGGCCCCCCUGCUGGCUGCAAGAAACCGGAAUUCGGCCUUUUCGGCGCGCACCCGGACACGGCGCUGGGAUGAAGGCGCCCAGUUCAUGCCCAGCCAGGGCCUGCAGGGACAACGGGAUGGUCACAGGACGGCUGCCUCAGCUCCAAACAGCAACAUCUGAAGGAGAAAGUCUAUAGCAACGCUCACACCCAAUCCUGAGUCCCAGGUGUUUUACCGUUCUCUGGCAUGAUCAGCCAGCUGCCUGGUAGCCAGCUGGUUACACUGGACCACUUCCAUUGUGGACAGGGCAGUGCUUUAUUAUUACUGGAAUUGACAGUUACUCCAGAUACGGAUUUGCCUUCCCUGCAUGCAAUGCUUCUGCCAAAACGGCUAUCCGAGGACUUACAGAAUGCCUUUCCCACUGUCAUGGUAUUCUACACAGCAUUGCUUUUGACCAAGGAACUCACCUUGUAGGAAAGAAGGGCUGCAAUGGGCCCACGCUCACGGA